rnacentral:misc_RNA from 1 species
CGGGCGGUGAGUUUGUGACAAACAAGGAUGGAACAUUGUCAUACAAUGGUGGGGACGCUUAUGCAAUUGACAUUGAUCAGCAAACACAGUUGAGUGAUUUCAAGUCUGAAGUAGCUGAAAUGUUGCUGUUGAUACCAUGUCCAUUAAGUACUUCCUUCCAGGAAACAAAAAGACCCUUAUCACUAUCUCUAAAGAUAAGGAUUUACAGCGCAUGGUUAAUUUUCUUGGGGAUACGAUGACUGUUGAUGUAUUUAUCAUGUCAGAGGAAGCUGCUGCUAGGAAUGUGUCCAACAUGCCUGCUAGUAGGUCAAGCAGGACGACUGUGUCAGAAGCUGUGGUUCCUCUGGUCGAUGUUACUCCUGUUGAUGUUCACAUUGAUAUUGAUCGAGUUGACCUGGAUGUCCCUGAUGAAAAUCCUAUAUCCUGCAUUCCUAUUGGAAUAGCUGAUGAGAAGC